rnacentral:lncRNA from 1 species
UAGCAUUCUGGUGGGAACUCGAUUAUAUAUAUAAAAUUAAUUCGAUAAAAUUAUAAAAUUAAUUUUAUCCCUAUAAUAUAAUUUUAUUUUUAAACUAUCUUUACAACCCGACUAAUUUCCUUUUAAAACACGAAAGAAGAGGACCAUUCGAAUCUUGCAUUCCCGUGGGAACCCUCGAAUAAUCCGUCCUGAGCCUCACGUUUUGGAUUAACCGUUCAUUCUUAAAACGCU